UACGUAGGGUGCAAGCGUUAAUCGGAAUUACUGGGCGUAAAGCGUGCGCAGGCGGUUAUGUAAGACAGAUGUGAAAUGCCCGGGCUUAACCUGGGAACUGCAUUUGUGACUGCAUGGCUAGAGUUUGGCAGAGGGGGGUAGAAUUCCACGUGUAGCAGUGAAAUGCGGUAGAUAUGUGGAGGAACACCGAUGGCGAAGGGCAGCCCCUGGGUCAAGACUGACGCUCAUGCACGAAGGCGUGGGAGCAA
rnacentral:rRNA from 1 species